rnacentral:tRNA from 5 species
CUUGAGGAUGGGUUCGAGCCCCUUCUCUCUAG